AUGGUGGCAGCAGAGAGCAUUGUGGGAGUUUAGCAGCAGCGGGACCAUGACAGAGACUCUGAGGAGGUUCAUGACCUUGAACAUAACUGAAGGACAUAUUUUGUUCGUGAUCUAAAACAGUAACAUCUCUCAGUAACAUGAACAGAACAAGUGAACGCUGUGACGGACCUGUAGUAGUGACUGACUGUUGAUAGAGAAAGAUUCUGAAGUAACAUCCUCUGUACAACAUCUGAGUGACAGCAGACCUAAACAACAGGUUCGUUAAAAAUUGCUUUGAUCAGAUCAGGACAUCCCUCGUCUGAAUGUCUGGAUCUCACCUGGGCUUCAGACUCUGAAUGAAGAACCAGCUGUAACCUGAAGCUCCUCCCACAAAUGUUUACACCCAACAACUGAAUCCUUAAUGCUUCGCUGUGACAGCUUGCUAUUCGGCAUCAGACCCGGCUCACCUCUGGACCUCACAGUUCUGCCGAAUGUACCGACCCUCAGUCAGCUGGAUACCUGCAGGCCUCAGGGAGAAGAUCAGAACUCUGCUGCUUUUGAAAGCAUCACAGGAAUCUGUGACUCUGAAAUAUGCAAUAAAGCAGAGUGACUCUUAGAAACGCAGACGACAAUCAGGAGUCAAAGGGCUUUAAAUAGCAUCCAAAGGAUUUACUGACCGUCAGAAGGCGACCUGAAAGUCUCCAGCAGAUUUACAAGUGCUUCCUUAAAACUUCCCAAAGAUUCAAGGCCUUACACAUGUUCCACAAGAUUCACUGUAGUCUGUAGAACAUCAGCCUCCAAGUCUCCUCCAGACUGAUCAGCUUCCACAGGAAUGUUCUCAGUGUUUUUAGAGGCAUCAGGAUAAACUGAACUGUUCUUCAUCACAGGAGGACAUACGAGUUCCUGCAGCUUCACCCCAUUGCUUCUUCAUUUCAUCACCAUUACAGCUGAUUCUUCACCGGCAGGACCCUAACCCUGACUGACAUUAAAACAACCUGCAACUCUGAGUUUGAAGGGCCUGGAGAUUAAUCUGACAUCCAGGGUUUAAGCAGACUCUGACAACAGUCUGGAUCACCAGCAUGAAUCACAUGUCAGCAAUUCAUUUUUAGUAGACUGUCAUCAUUUGAUGGACUGAAAACAUGCUGACAUGCAGCAGAUGAUGGGCAUGCAAAGUACAUGUGUGUUUGUUAGAAGGGUUUCUUCUGAGACCAUACGAUCAAUAACAUGAUCAGUUCUGAAGCUGAUUAUUCAUAAAUGAAGCAUUCAGAGGACUCUGCUGUAAAGUCGCUUCAUUACUUUAACCGGACAGAGUGUGAAACAUUCGAAUUAGACCCUGGUGAUAAAUCUGCC